GCAGAAGUGGUGGAAUGGCAGACACGCUGGUUUUAGGCACCAGUUCCUUGUGAGUGAGGGUUCAAGUCCCUUCUUCUGCA
rnacentral:tRNA from 2 species